CCGGAAGUGAAGGUGAUAUGGAAACGAGGUUUGGCGCCAAAUUCAGACGAUGACGAGACGAAUAUUUUCACAAAUAUAAACAUCGUAAGUUUGUGUUUCUUUUGCAAAUAAGACAAAAAGUAGCGUCUAUUGAAAGCUGGAAACGAACAAAAAGAUGAGUGGAAGUCUAAAGAGUCCAAUUCCUACGCCGGUAUUCGUGAAUGAAGGAGUUUUUAGUCACAAAAGUGCGAAAAUUCGUAGUCGUCUGGAUGAAUUUCAUGAGCCACCUAAGCCUCCUGUGAAGUCUGCUCCGCCAGUGAGUAGGAUAUUUAAACAUACGCGACGGCAUUCUGAUGGACCACAACGUGUUAGCUUUGGCCAGAAACAAGAUU